AUUGAACGCUGGCGGCAUGCUUUACACAUGCAAGUCGAACGGCAGCGCGGGCUUCGGCCUGGCGGCGAGUGGCGAACGGGCGAGUAAUGCAUCGGAACGUGCCCAGCAGUGGGGGAUAGCCCGGCGAAAGACGGAUUAAUACCGCAUACGACCAGAGGGUGAAAGCGGGGGACCGAAAGGUCUUGCGACCUUGCAGCGGCCGAUGGCGGAUUAGCUAGUUGGUGGGGUAAAGGCUUAACAAGGCGCCGAUCCGUAGCUGGUCUGCGAGGACGACCAGCCACACUGGGACUGAGACACGGCCCAGACUCCUACGGGAGGCAGCAGUUGGGAAUUUUGGACAAUGGGGGCAACCCUGAUCCAGCCAUGCCGCGUGCGGGAAGAAGGCCUUCGGGUUGUAAACCGCUUUUGUUCGGGAAGAAAACCUCUGGGCUAAUACCCCGGGGGGAUGACGGUACCGGAAGAAUAAGCACCGGCUAACUACGUG
rnacentral:rRNA from 1 species